rnacentral:lncRNA from 1 species
CCUAGCUCCAAGCCACGGCUAACUCAACACACUGAGACAGAAUUGUAAUGGCAGGAGUUUUGUGCAAGUAGAUGGAGGCAAUGGGAGGCCUAUAUGAAGUUCUAACCGGCUAAAGUUGAUGAUGCUGAAUGUCACAGGUAAAACAUUCUGCAUUGGCUGAGUUAAGAGAUUACACUGAACCAAGCAAGUUUAGGGAUAUGGCAGUUGUCUUCACUUUUGUUUCCUGUCAUUGUUGUUGAGGGUUACCUUGCGAUUUAACCAACAUCCUGAUUACAAGAAAGCUAAACCAAAAACUUCUGAAAAACUGGCUUUGAAUCUGUUGUUGACUUGAAGCUCUCACCUGCCUCUACAGGGACAUCUCCAAGUCAUUCUGGACUAAUUUUCGGCAUUUCUGUCAAUAACUGCAGUCUUUUCUGUAACCUCAUAAAUGCAGAACUUGAGAAUUGGCAGGAACGAGCUCUGGUAAUCCUUAUACAUUACUGAAUAUCACCACUGAGGAACAUUGUCAUCUACAACAGAUGAGAUAAUCCUAGUAAGCACCAUGUUGCAAGGUGCUAAUUGACAUAAUAAACAACAGAAUAUAUCUGUCA